rnacentral:rRNA from 1 species
CCUACGGGAGGCUGCAGUGGGGAAUAUUGCACAAUGGGCGCAAGCCUGAUGCAGCCAUGCCGCGUGUGUGAAGAAGGCCUUCGGGUUGUAAAGCACUUUCAGCGGGGAGGAAGGCGUUAAGGUUAAUACCCUUGUCGAUUGACGUUACCCGCAGAAGAAGCACCGGCUAACUCCGUGCCAGCAGCCGCGGUAAUACGGAGGGUGCAAACGUUAAUCGGAAUUACUGGGCGUAAAGCGCACGCAGGCGGUCUGUCAAGUCGGAUGUGAAAUCCCCGGGCUCAACCUGGGAACUGCAUUCGAAACUGGCAGGCUAGAGUCUUGUAGAGGGGGGUAGAAUUCCAGGUGUAGCGGUGAAAUGCGUAGAGAUCUGGAGGAAUACCGGUGGCGAAGGCGGCCCCCUGGACAAAGACUGACGCUCAGGUGCGAAAGCGUGGGGAGCAAACAGGAUUAGAUACCCCUGUAGUC